GACGAAGGGGGCUAGCGUUGUUCGGAAUUACUGGGCGUAAAGCGCGUGUAGGCGGUUGGUCAAGUCAGGGGUGAAAGCCUUGAGCUCAACUCAAGAAAUGCACUUGAUACUGGAUGACUAGAGGACCGGAGAGGAUAGUGGAAUUCCCAGUGUAGUGGUGAAAUACGUAGAGAUUGGGAAGAACACCAGUGGCGAAGGCGGCUAUCUGGACGGUUUCUGACGCUAAGACGCGAAAGCGUGGGGAGCAAACAGG
rnacentral:rRNA from 1 species